GACGAACGCUGGCGGCGUGCUUAACACAUGCAAGUCGAACGGAAAGGCCCUGCUUUUGUGGGGUUCUCGAGUGGCGAACGGGUGAGUAACACGUGAGUAACCUGCCCUUGAUUUUGGGAUAACUUCAGGAAACUGGGGCUAAUACCGGAUAGGAGCUCCUGCUGCAUGGUAGGGGUUGGAAAGUUUCGGCGGUUGGGGAUGGACUCGCGGCUUAUCAGCUUGUUGGUGGGGCAGUGGCUUACCAAGGCUUUGACGGGUAGCCGGCCUGAGAGGGUGACCGGCCACAUUGGGACUGAGAUACGGCCCAGACUCCUACGGGAGGCAGCAGUAGGAAAUAUUGCACAAUGGGCGGAAGCCUGAUGCAGCAACGCCGCGUGCGGGAUGACGGCCUUCGGGUUGUAAACCGCUUUCGCCUGUGACGAAGCGUGAGUGACGGUAAUGGGUAAAGAAGCACCGGCUAACUACGUG
rnacentral:rRNA from 1 species